rnacentral:lncRNA from 1 species
UCAUCUAAAACAUGCAUAGAUACAUACAUCAGCUCCUAGGGGCUUCAAACUAUCCUAAACCCCAUCUACAACACAUCAAACAUGCAUAUCCAACAUACAUUGUCCAUAAAACACAUAAAACCUAACAAUGCUCAACUAGCAUAAACAUACAUUUUUACCCCAUGAAUCAACUUAAAACUUGUUUAAAACAUAUAGUGAGCUCAAGAUCGGC